UACGGAGGAUCCGAGCGUUAUCCGGAUUUAUUGGGUUUAAAGGGUGCGUAGGUGGAUUGGUAAGUCAGUGGUGAAAGUUUGCAGCUUAACUGUAACAGUGCCGUUGAUACUGGGGAGCUAGGAUUUGGUUGCUGUGGGUGGAUGUGUGGUGUAGCGGUGAAAUGCUUAGAGAUCACACAGAAUAUCGAUUGCGAAGGCAGCUCACAAAGCCAAGAUUGACGCUGAGGCACGAAAGUGUGUGGAUCAAACAGGA
rnacentral:rRNA from 1 species